AGUAGCUUGACGAGCACAAAGCGAACUAUUCUUUCGCCUUUUACUAAAGAAUACCGUGUGCUCGUCAUUUUAAGUUACAUACCUUCAUUUUUGGAGCGGUUGUUUCAUUAUGAUU
rnacentral:snRNA from 1 species